CAAUAAGUUUCAAUCCAUUUAUUACUCACUGUGAGAGAAAUUGCUUCCUUUUAUGUCUGGAACUAAACCUGGAUCACAUUUCACAGGAUAUCCCCUAGUCACAGAGUUUUGGAAUCUGACCUGGAGGCAAAGGUAUGGAUGAGAUCACAUAGCAAGGAGAUUGCUGCUGAGAAGGAGUCAAAGCCUGGGUUUUACUUGUGGCCUUGCUGCUACACUAACUUUACUGACAUGUCAUUCUGGGAUAGUCUUUUCUCUCUGAGGCUUCAAGAGAAGAUGAGAAUACAUUCCAUCCCUACUUCUUGGAGUCAUUGUGAGGACUCAGAUGAAGUGCAGCAUCACGCAACAGAACUCAGAUGCCCUCACUGCAUCUCAAAUGCACUCAGGUAGGUACGAUGAUGGUAAGAGUUCAUAUUUACUGACUACCUACUAAGUGGUUGGUACUAUUCCUAGUAUUUUGUUUUAACUUUCGCAUUUAAUCCUAUAACAGCAUACCUAAGAAGUGACUAUUAUUUCUGACCUCCAUUUAGAGAAAGCAUGGAGACACAUGCUGUUUCGGCACUUUCCCCAAGAUAAGAGAGUUAUAGGAGCUGGAACUGGAUAGAAGCCUGGUGUACACCUCUCUGACUAUUGCUUCACUGGGCCACCUGGCAUCCUGUGGAGGGGCUUCUGAGCACCUGUAAUCUGAUGGAGAGCAUGGCAGAGGCAGCUGGAUGCUAGACACUGAGGAGACACCUGAGUCUGACAAGUGGAAAGAGAUGUGUGUGGGGAAAGGAGAUCAGGCAAAGGCUCCGCAGUAGGAAGGCCGGAGUGGCCCCUGAGACCACAGGAAGAAAAGGGAAGCAAUGCUGGACAGCCGGCCAGCUCCUGGGCUGUGGGGCCAGCAGCCAUUAGAGACAGUCAGAGUAGAGGACCCUUAGACCCCACCAGACCCUGCAGAGGAUGAAACAGAAGGAUGCAAAGAGAUUUGUCCUCUUAAGAGAGGAAACAAAUACAAAUCACAAUGAAAUGCCACUUUCCUGCAUCGGAUUAAUGAAUACUCGAAAGCUUAAUACUACUUAGUGUUGGCCAGGACUUUCCUUUUGCACAAUUUUGAUGGGCGAGUCAAUUGGGAAAGUGUUUGUGAGUGCAGUUUGGCAAUAUGUGUGUAUCUACAUUUUAAAUGCACAUACUUUUUGGUCCAGAAAAAGUCCCCUGAGGAUACACACAUACCUGCAGGAUAAAUGCACACAUACAUAUAUUUAGGGUUGGCAUUUUUACAAACAGAAAAUUAAAAAUGAUCUUCAUCAGUAGGUUAAGCAAAUAAAUUAUGAUAAUACAAACUAGGGAAUACUGUGGCUUCGUAUUACUCUUAAAAUAAAACUCCAAGCCCUUUCCCAUGGCCUAUAAGGCCUGGGAUGAUUUGGUCCCUUCCCCGUUCUCACCCUAAUUUCUCACUGCUCUUUCUCUCCCCCUGCUCCAGUUCCUAGAGGCUAUAGCUGUUCCACAGACCAAGGCAGUUCCACCCUUAGGGCCUUUGCUCCUGCAGUUUCUCCUUCUUGGAAGGUUUUCUCCCCCAGAUAUUAAUACGACUGUCUCCUCACUCUAUUUAUACCUCUGUUCAAAUAUCAACAUGUGGUGAACAGCUUCGAAAAUGACCCUUAACGACCUGCCCUCCUGGUAUGGAUUCCCUCCCUUCUAGUGUGAGCUGGACCUAGUGACUUACUAAUAAUGAAUAGAAUAUUUUAAAAGGGGAGAUUUCACUUCUGAGAUCUGAUAACAGAAUACCAUGACUUCAUCUUGCAUGCUCUUUCUCUCUCCCUCUGUCUUCCUCUCCCUGGCAUUCUUGCUUGUGAGUAAGCAGGCUGCCAUGCUGUGAGCUGCCCUAUGGAGAAGUCCACAUGGCAAGGAACUGAGGGAGACCUUCAGCCAACAGCCAAUGAGGAACUGAUGCUCCCAGAGAACAGCCUGUAGGAAACUAAUUCCUGCUAACAACCUUCAGAUGACUGCAGGUCUGGCUGGCAACUCAACUGAAGCCUGAGAGAGAUCCUGAAGCAGCGGGUGCAGCUAAGCCUCUGCUGGAUUCCCAUUAGACAGAAACUCAUCACCAGUUUUCCAUGAGAGCACCAAGCCUGUGAUUUCAGUAGAAGCUUAACUGCUCGUCUUUGAGGCACCAAAUCUGAAAAGCGAUCUUCCUGAAGACCAUGCUAAGGCAAGAACAUCCAUAUAAGGGAGAAUUCCUGAAAGUGUUCUAACACUUCAGUGGAAACUCAUCAAUGCUCUGUACCCAGAAUAAUCCCAUUUCGGAGGGGGCAUGGAUGGGGCAGAUGCAUGAUGUGCCCUGAGGAGCAGAGGAAACAUGGGCUUGGGUUGUGAAGGAUCUCAGAGAAGCUCUCCUGGACUGGCCCAAAUGUCUCAAACUUUAAUGUGCACAUAAAUCUAUUAAAAUGCAGC